rnacentral:rRNA from 1 species
UUGCCAGACUCCUACGGGAGGCAGCAGUGGGGAAUAUUGGGCAAUGGGCGCAAGCCUUACCCAGCAAUACCGCGUGAGUGAAGAAGGUCUUCGGAUUGUAAAGCUCUUUGAUCAGGGACGAACAGAUGACGGUACCUGAAGAACAAGCCCCGGCUAACUACGUGCCAGCAGCCGCGGUAAAACGUAGGGGGCGAGCGUUGUCCGGAAUGACUGGGCGUAAAGGGUGCGUAGACGGCGACGCAAGUCUGGAGUGAAAGCCUGGGGCCCAACCCCGGGACUGCUCUGGAAACUGCGUCGCUGGAGUACGGGAGGGGCAGGCGGAAUUCCUGGUGUAGCGGUGAAAUGCGUAGAUAUCAGGAGGAACACCGGCGGCGAAGGCGGCCUGCUGGACCGUGACUGACGUUGAGGCUCGAGAGCGUGGGGAGCAAACAGGAUUAGAUACCCGUGUAC